rnacentral:rRNA from 1 species
CCUACGGGUGGCAGCAGUGGGGGAUAUUGCACAAUGGGGGGAACCCUGAUGCAGCGACGCCGCGUGAGCGAAGAAGUACCUCGGUAUGUAAAGCUCUAUCAGCAGGGAAGAAAAUGACGGUACCUGACUAAGAAGCCCCGGCUAAAUACGUGCCAGCAGCCGCGGUAAUACGUAUGGGGCAAGCGUUAUCCGGAUUUACUGGGUGUAAAGGGGGCGUAGGCGGGGUGCCAGGUCUGGUGGGAAAUCCCGGGGCCCAAACCCGGGCCUGCAUUGGAAACUGACGGGCUGGAGUGGCGGAGGGGCAGGCGGAAUGCCUAGUGUAGCGGUGAAAUGCGUAGAUAUUAGGAGGAACACCGGUGGCGAAGGCGGCAUACUGGACGAUGACUGACGCUGAGGCUCGAAAGCGUGGGGAGCAAACAGGAUUAGAUACCCUUGUAGUC